AGCGCAUACAUCUGGCUUGAGAAGAGCCCGCAUAACACUCAGGGACCUGAACAUAACUGCAACUUAUUAAGAGAUAUACAUCCCAUCUUUACCGUGCAUUUAAAAACAAAUAUACUCCUUAUGUUGAAAGUUCGAAAGCUAUUAUUUUUAAUGUUUUGUAUAUCUACCUCAUAGCAUACCUAUUGUGCAAAUAAGGAAACAGUGUCAUAAUGUCAACAAAUAUGAUCUAGCAUGGCAACACAAUGCCAGACAAAUGCACCGCUUUAGCCACAAAAGUGAUAAAGUUCACAUGUUAAUACAGAGUACAGCAUAUUUAACAGCAUGUUUAAUAAUGUGGUAGUAUGUAUAUCCUUUUACAAGAACUGCAUCGAUAACACAGGCCUACAUCAGACUGUGCAUUAUGAGAGGAUUGUUUUGUUUUGACAGACCAUUAGCCAGUAUAAAUAUCCAGCCACAUGUGUUGCAUAGUUCGGUGCAGAGUACAUAUAAGAUAACCUUGAGCGGUGAGCACUAGAUACCAAAUGAAAAGUGUAACACAUUAUAAAGCUAUAACAUGAUAUGAUAAACUUGUACACAUAACUACUCAUGUUUUUCCAUAAAAAGUGCAUUGUUUACGCUUUAUCCCCUGCGUGGGAAAACUGCUUAUUGUGUUGACCUCAAUAAAAACAGAUUUAA